rnacentral:rRNA from 1 species
AGUGAACGCUGGCGGUAGGCCUAACACAUGCAAGUCGAACGGCAGCACAGUAAGAGCUUGCUCUUACGGGUGGCGAGUGGCGGACGGGUGAGGAAUACAUCGGAAUCUACUUUUUCGUGGGGGAUAACGUAGGGAAACUUCCGCUAAUACCGUAUACGACCUACGGGUGAAAGCAGGGGAUCUUCGGACCUUGCGCGAUUGAUUGAGCCGAUUUCGGAUUAGCUAGUUGGCGGGGUAAAGGCCCACCAAGCCGACGAUCCGUAGCUGGUCUGGGAGGAUGAUCAGCCACACUGGAACUGAGACACGGUCCAGACUCCUACGGGAGGCAGCAGUGGGGAAUAUUGGACAAUGGGCGCAAGCCUGAUCCAGCCAUACCGCGUGGGUGAAGAAGGCCUUCGGGUUGUAAAGCCCUUUUGUUGGGAAAGAAAAGCAGCAGGUUAAUACCCCGCUGUUCUGACGGUACCCAAAGAAUAAGCACCGGCUAACUUCGUG